rnacentral:lncRNA from 10 species
CUGAAUGACAAAUACACUUGUAUCUCAUCCACUGCCUUGCCUUGAACGAUCCCCUUCACCUAGAAGACUUGACUUGCUUUGGAGCUCCACGUUCACGUGUUUUGCUGUCUACUUGACAUCUUCUCAAGAAUACCUCAACAUUAUCUCCAAUUUAUUAUGCUUAAAACCAAAGUCAUGACCUUUUUCCCUCCACCCCUGGUCCCUUCCAGAGUUCUGCAUCUCACUGAAUAGCAGCACCAUCCAUCUGGUCAUAGGAUCCAGAAACCCAAGAGUCUCGCUUGACCCUUUCUUCUCUGUGCCACACCCUUCCAUUUUAAGUCCUUUAGCAACCCCUAUUAAUUUAGUCUCCAAUCCAUCCACCCUUCUCCAGCUCCAUCGCCAUCUCCAUCACUGGUCCACGUGGCCACUGUGUCCCACCUGAUUGCUGUGAGGCACCCCAUGCCCUCCCUCCUUGUUCAGUUCCACCCAUUUGUUCUUUAUGCUGCAGCCAAGGAAAUAACGCAAACUUGAUCACGC